CAAGAGUGAAAUUCUGUCUCAAAAAAAAAAAAGAAAAAAAAAAGGAGUAGAAGAUGACAAACAUUUGAUCUUAAAGAGAUUUUAAUGUGUAUUAAGGAGUAAACGUGGAAUGACCAGAGAGAGUAAACCACUGGGUCAUAGGGCGUAUAUACAUAUACAUACAUACAGCUUUAGUAAAUAUUGUCAAAUAAUUUUGGAAGUGAACUAAUUUAUACCCCCGUCAGCAACUUAUGAGAGUUCCAGUUGUUUGACAUUCUUGGUAACACUUGCCUGAAGAACCAGCUGAAUAGAGAAAGAAGGCAAAGAUUUGAGGCAUGAGGGAGGAGACAUGGCAGUUACUGCUAGCUUAAAUAUAGAGGGAACCUGAAAGCAGUUCUAGGAGCUAGAAAUCUUUUUCUGACACCCAGGAA